rnacentral:misc_RNA from 1 species
GAUGAAGAACGCAGCGAGAUGCGAUAAGUAAUGUGAAUUGCAGAAUUCAGUGAAUCAUCGAAUCUUUGAACGCACAUUGCGCCCGCCAGUAUUCUGGCGGGCAUGCCUGUUCGAGCGUCAUUACAACCCUCAGGCCCCCGGGCCUGGCGUUGGGGAUCGGCGGAAGCCCCCUGCGGGCACAACGCCGUCCCCCAAAUACAGUGGCGGUCCCGCCGCAGCUUCCAUUGCGUAGUAGCUAACACCUCGCAACUGGAGAGCGGCGCGGCCACGCCGUAAAACACCCAACUUCUGAAUGUUGACCUCGAAUCAGGUAGGAAUACCCGCUGAACUUAAGCAUAUCAAUAAGCGGAGGA